GUGUCAGCCGCCGCGGUAAUACGGAGGGUGCAAGCGUUGUUCGGAAUUACUGGGCGUAAAGCGCGUGUAGGCGGCCUUUUAAGUCUGAUGUGAAAGCCCGGGGCUUACCUCCGGAAGUGCAUUGGAAACUGGAAGGCUAGAGUACCGGAGAGGAGGGUGGAAUUCCUGGUGUAGCGGUGAAAUGCGUAGAUAUCAGGAGGAACACCGGUGGCGAAGGCGGCCCUCUGGACGGCUACUGACGCUGAGACGCGAAAGCGUGGGGAGCAAACAGGAUUAGAAACCCUCGUAGUCC
rnacentral:rRNA from 1 species